rnacentral:lncRNA from 1 species
AUGUUUUCUUUUUAUAAAAGUAAGUGUUUUUGGUCUCAUUUGAUUAUGUGGUGCUUGGUUCCUGUUGUCUGGAUUUUUCAGUGUUUAUUGUAUUUUUUUCCACUCUUGCAAUCAAAGGAGAGAGAGCUUUUAGAAGCAGCUGAGUUAGAUGUAAAUAGGCCAUAUCACCUAGGCCCCUCUAAAUAUCAGUCGUCUGAACAUGAAAAAGAAGAGCAGGAGGGAAAAGAAAAGGAGGAUCAGAGUAACAUUACCUGGGAGCAACGGUACGAGAAAAUCUGGGUUGAAAUUGAGAAAAAGGAGACAAAAUCCCAGUACAAGAAUGUGGCUGCUGAGCUAAAAGAAAGAUUUGGAGAGAUAGAGCAGAAUGAACGGUGUGAGUCUACCAGAGAUGUAGAGUUGGAAGAAGAAGAGAGUAAAGAAGCAAAGAAAGAGAUGGAGAGUGAAACAGCGGUUCCUGAGAGUGCAUCAGAAGAAGAUUCUAGUGAGGAUGAGGGAGAGCCAAUUGUACGUCCGGCUGCCCGAGCCAGAACUGUUAGACUGGUAACGAUCCCUGAACAAAGAGAGUCUGGUGUGGAGGAGUCCUGCUCAGAAGAACCUAAAGGAGCAUCCUGCCACAUCCCCACUGAUGAAGAUGACAGCGAGGCAGAUCUUCCUCAUGAUGACUUCACCAAUGACGAAGACAUUCAGCAACCUUCUCCAGAGCUCCUUAAAGAAACAGAACGCAAUGACCAAGCGUGCAAACACACUGCAAAUCCUUCCAUUGAAGCAAAUGAAAAUGAAGCAAAUACUGGCUUGCCUGUGACAUGUGACCUGGCAAAAGAACAGUUAACAGAAGAAGCUAUGAGUAGCCCAGUCCGUUUUGUUAGUGAGCUGAAGAUCCCUUUCUCAAAAUCAGAAGCACAGUCCUCCAACUCAGAGGAAGAGGUUGAGGAGGGCCGACAGAAGUGCAUAAGUGAGGUAGGGAAUUGGAGAGCUGCAUGCUUGGAGUUAAAAAAGGACAAUGCAAUUCAGAUGCUUUGUAGAGGAGUCGUCACAUCAUUUGUCUCUCUCUCUCUCUCUUUUUCCAUUACUUUACUAAUUCUGUAUCACUCUUGUCGCUUAAAGACCUGCUAA